AGCGAACGCUGGCGGCAGGCCUAACACAUGCAAGUCGAACGGAUCCUUCGGGAUUAGUGGCGGACGGGUGAGUAACACGUGGGAACGUGCCCUUUGGUUCGGAACAACUCAGGGAAACUUGAGCUAAUACCGGAUAAGCCUUUCGAGGGAAAGAUUUAUCGCCAUUGGAGCGGCCCGCGUAGGAUUAGCUAGUUGGUGGGGUAAAGGCCCACCAA
rnacentral:rRNA from 1 species